CUUCAAUGGGACUGGAUUGUAGAUUUCUUUGGUAGGGAUAUGGGUGGAGGUGUCUGAAAAAGCAGCUGGGUUUAGGCCUUCAGUGGUGUUUGUUGACCACGGAGCAGUGAAGGGAUUCAGGGCUCCAUCUGGAGCAAAUGACUUCCAGUCCACCCAGAGGCCCCACAGGCUGACGCAGCCGUGCUCCGGAGCCAGCUGUCCCGGCGUGCCAUGUCACCGCAUCACCUGCUGCCCCGGGGGCACCAACGUCUAGGGUGAGACCUUGUUCUUGAGAUCAGAAGUAAUGGCCAGAACUCCAGCCACCACGUCUGAGCUCCGGGUAUCAAGAUGGAAGAAGGGGCAGCAAAGACAAGGGGCAAAGCUCACAUGUCAGCGUUCUCUUAAAGACAUUUCUUAGCAGUAGUCUCACGUAUCACUGACCAGAAUUUAAACAGGUGCUCAUACUUAAAUGUAAGGAAAGCUGGGAGAUGAAGACUCUGGCAAAAAUCUGAGGUAUUAUUACCAACAAAGAAGGGGAGAAUAGAAACUGAGUUCUCUGCCAUGGUUCACCAUUUUGGCUACCAGAAUAUUCGUGGGAGGGCUUGUUAUGCACAGAACACAUUCGUGCCCGUCUUGAAACCAGCAAACACAGUUUCAACCAUUUGCUGCCUCUAGCUCCAAGUCCAGGACUUAUAGUCCUCUACAUCCAUCUUCGUGUGCUGCUGCUCCUUGUCUGGCAACUUGUGUUUUUAAAGGUACGUUAGCUCUCAACACACUGUGAGAGAAAAGAAACAGGGUAAUGAUGAUGAAAUCUCCCAGUCUCCCAGGAAAAUGAAAACAGAAUUGAAUAACAGUGAUCAAACCCUGCUGGGCAUACCUAGUGUGUACUCCCAAUCUGGGAGUGGAGAAGCUUCCUUGGUUGGGAAUGUUCCUGGUGCUGGGAUCUGGAUAGAAUCCCAUUCAUUAUCUGUUGUCAUCCAUGGCCCCAGUCCCCUGGUUGGUUCCUGUACACAGUCCUCCCAGGGUCCACCGAAGUUGGCAUUAGAGUACAAUCCUUCUUGGGGCCACCCCACUUUCCAGAUCACUUCUUGCUGAUGCAAGUUCAGAGCCCCAGGGGUUGUUAGAAUAGAGUAGUCCCUCGGUAUCCAGGAGGUGUUGGUUCCAGGAUCCUCCACAGAUAGCAAAAUUCUUGGAUGCUCAAGUCCCUGAUGUCAAAGGGCUUAGUAUUUGUACAUAACCUGUGCACAUCUUUCCAUAUGUUACAUCUUAAAUCAUCUCUAGAUUGCUUAC